AUUGAACGCUGGCGGCAGGCCUAACACAUGCAAGUCGAACGGCAGCGGGGGAUAGCUUGCUAUCCUGCCGGCGAGUGGCGGACGGGUGAGUAAUGCAUGGGGAGCUGCCCAGUCGAGGGGGAUAACAACUGGAAACGGUUGCUAAUACCGCAUACACCCUGAGGGGGAAAGGUGGGGCACUUCGGUCCUACCGCGAUUGGAUGCGCCCAUGUGGGAUUAGCUAGUUGGGGAGGUAACGGCUCACCAAGGCGACGAUCUCUAGCUGGUCUGAAAGGAUGAGCAGCCACACUGGAACUGAGACACGGUCCAGACUCCUACGGGAGGCAGCAGUGGGGAAUAGUGCACAAUGGGGGAAACCCUGAUGCAGCCAUGCCGCGUGUGUGAAGAAGGCCUUCGGGUUGUAAAGCACUAUCAGUCAGGAGGAAGGGGUGAUGGCUAAUAUCCAUCAUCAUUGACGUUACUGACAGAAGAAGCACCGGCUAACCCCGUGCCAGCCGCCGCUGUAA
rnacentral:rRNA from 1 species